GGGGAGGCAGGUAGCCUAGUGGUUAGAGUGUAGAGGAGGCAGGUAGCCUAGUGGUUAGAGUGUAGAGGAGGCAGGUAACCUAGUGGUUAGAGUGUAGAGGCGGCAGGUAGCCUAGUGGUUAGAGUGUAGGGGAGGCAGGUAGCCUAGUGGUUAGAGUGUAGAGGCGGCAGGUAGCCUAGUGGUUAGAGUGUGGUGGUGGCAGGUAGCCUAGUGGUUAGAGUGUAGAGGAGGCAGGUAGCCUAGUGGUUAGAGUGUAGAGGAGGCAGGUAGCCUAGUGGUUAGAGUGUAGGGGAGGCAGGUAGCCUAGUGGUUAGAGUGUAGAGGCGGCAGGUAGCCUAGUGGUUAGAGUGUAGUGGUGGCAGGUAGCCUAGUGGUUAGAGAGUAGAGGUGGCAGGUAGCCUAGUGGUUAGAGUGUAGAGGUGGCAGGUAGCCUAGUGGUUAGAGUGUAGAGGUGGCAGGUAGCCUAGUGGUUAGAGUGUAGAGGUGGCAGGUAGACUAGUGGUUAGAGUGUAGAGGAGGCAGGUAGCCUAGUGGUUAGAGUGUAGGGGAGGCAGGUAGCCUAGUGGUUAGAGUGUAGAGGAGGCAGGUAGCCUAGUGGUUAGAGUGUAGAGGAGACAGGUAGCCUAGUGGUUAGAGUGUAGAGGAGGCAGGUAGCCUAGUGGUUAGAGUGUAGAGGAGGCAGGUAGCCUAGUGGUUAGAGUGUAGGGGCGGCAGGUAGCCUAGCGGUUAGAGUGUAGGGGCGGCAGGUAGCCUAGUGGUUAGAGGUAGUAGAGGUACUAGAGGUACAGGAGGAAGUAGAGGUACUACAGGAGGAUGUAGAGGUACUACAGGAGGUACUACAGGGGGUAGUAGAGGUACUACAGGAGGUACUACAGGGGGUAGUAGAGGUACUACAGGAGGAAGUAGAGGUACUACAGGGGGUAGUAGAGGUACUACAGGAGGUACUAGAGGAGGAAGUAGAGGUACUAGAGGAGGAAGUAGAGGUACUACAGGGGGUAGUAGAGGUACUACAGGAGGUACUAGAGGAGGAAGUAGAGGUACUAGAGGAGGAAGUAGAGGUACUAGAGGAGGAAGUAGAGGUACUAGAGGAGGUACUAGAGGAGGAAGUAGAGGUACUACAGGAGGUACUAGAGGAGGAAGUAGAGGUACUACAGGAGGUAGUAGAGGUACUAGAGGAGGUAGUAGAGGUACUACAGGAGGUAGUAGAGGUACU
rnacentral:lncRNA from 1 species